rnacentral:tRNA from 2 species
GCCGAAGUGGUGGAAUUGGUAGACACGCCAUCUUGAGGGGGUGGUGGGCUUCGCCCGUGCUGGUUCGACUCCAGUCUUCGGCACCA